AAGUAGCAAGGUUAAGCACUUAAGGUGUGGAGCCGUAGCGAAAGCGAGUCUUAAAUGGGCGAUUAAGUUACUUGGCGUAGACCCGAAACCGGGCGACCUAUCCAUGAGCAGGUUGAAGCGAAAGUAAAAUUUCGUGGAGGACCGAACCCACGAGCGUUGAAAAGCUCGGGGAUGACUUGUGGAUAGCGGUGAAAUUCCAAUCGAGCCCGGAGAUAGCUGGUUCUCCCCGAAAUAGCUUUAGGGCUAGCCUCAAGCGUAGAGAAACGGAGGUAGAGCACUGAAUGUCCUAGGGGGUAUUGCACUUACCGAAGACUAUCAAACUCCGAAUGCCGUUUUCUUUUACUUGGGAGUCAGACUGUGGGUGAUAAGAUUCAUAGUCAAAAGGGCAACAGCCCAGAUCGUCAGCUAAGGUCCCUAAAUGUACGUUAAGUGGUAAAGGAUGUGGGAUUGCACAGACAACCAGGAUGUUGGCUUAGAAGCAGCCAUCAUUUAAAGAGUGCGUAAUAGCUCACUAGUCGAGUGACCCUGCGCCGAAAAUGUACCGGGGCUAAAACAAUUUACCGAAGCUGU
rnacentral:rRNA from 1 species